UAGGUAUCUUGAAGGCGAAUGAAUGAUGAUUAUAAGACAUAAUUGAUGAACGAAACAUUGACGGCAAAUUAAUUUUAGAGGCUUUGUAUUGGUUAAUCGAUGCUACGUAUCAAAUAAGAAACGUUUAUGAUAGAUUAAAGUUGAAGAAUCAACAUUGAUUUAUGGUUAAACUGAGGAAAAAAUCUUUCUUAAAGAUGGAGGAGUUUUUUCAAACACUUCACAUUGGAGCAUGAGGUCAAUCUAACGACCUAAUCAAAUAUCGGGUAUGAGAAGAGAAUAUGCAUGGAUGUCCCAGUGAGAAGGUAUGAGAGGCUAAAUAUAGUGAAUAUUAUGAGAGGUAGAGUUAGGACAAAGAAAUCUUAAAGUGAUGUGAUUAGAUAACGCAUGACACAUCGACAUGAUCAUGGAUAGAAAAAAAUGAAAGGCGAUAGAAGGG